rnacentral:rRNA from 1 species
CGACCGGCGCACGGGUGCGUAACGCGUAUGCAACCUACCUUUAACAGGGGGAUAACACUGAGAAAUCGGUACUAAUACCCCAUAAUAUCAUAGAAGGCAUCUUUUAUGGUUGAAAAUUCCGAUGGUUAGAGAUGGGCAUGCGUUGUAUUAGCUAGUUGGUGGGGUAACGGCUCACCAAGGCGACGAUACAUAGGGGGACUGAGAGGUUAACCCCCCACACUGGUACUGAGACACGGACCAG